AUUCUUAUAGUUUAAAGAAAAUGUAACGUUGAAAAUGUUAAGAUAAGUGAUUUAAGAAUA
rnacentral:tRNA from 1 species